GUCUGGUGAUGAUGGCGAAGAGGUCACACCCGUUCCCAUACCGAACACGGAAGUUAAGCUCUUCAGCGCCGAUGGUAGUUGGGGGUUUCCCCCUGUGAGAGUAGGACAUCGCCAGGCU
rnacentral:rRNA from 1 species